rnacentral:lncRNA from 1 species
AUCAGAAAAACCCCGAUCGGAAUCAAGAAGAAGAUGUAAACCCCCUAGAAAUGGAUAAACAUGUGUUAAAUGAUAUGAAUGCAGAAUGAUGUGAUGCAAUACAGUGACAUGGGAAUCAAGAUUGUUGUAUCUGCUUGAACCACUGUCGGGUUGCACUGUCUGAAGAGAAACCCACUGAGGAAUAUAAUACAAGAUCAAAGCUCUGCUCUAGAAAACCGGGUUGUUUGAAGGUUAAGGUUUCCUGAAUUUAG